CCUACGGGUGGCAGCAGUGGGGAAUAUUGGACAAUGGGGGGAACCCUGAUCCAGCCAUGCCGCGUGUGUGAAGAAGGCCCUCGGGUUGUAAAGCACUUUCAGUGAGGAAGAACGCCUGGUGGUUAAUACCCAUCAGGAAAGACAUCACUCACAGAAGAAGCACCGGCUAACUCCGUGCCAGCAGCCGCGGUAAUACGGAGGGUGCGAGCGUUAAUCGGAAUUACUGGGCGUAAAGCGCGCGUAGGUGGCUUGAUAAGCCGGUUGUGAAAGCCCCGGGCUCAACCUGGGAACGGCAUCCGGAACUGUCAAGCUAGAGUGCAGGAGAGGAAGGUAGAAUUCCAGGUGUAGCGGUGAAAUGCGUAGAGAUCGGGAGGAAUACCAGUGGCGAAGGCGGCCUUCUGGACUGACACUGACACUGAGGUGCGAAAGCGUGGGUAGCAAACAGGAUUAGAUACCCCGGUAGUC
rnacentral:rRNA from 1 species